GAUGAACGCUGGCGGCGUGCCUAAUACAUGCAAGUCGAGCGAACAGAUGAGGAGCUUGCUCCUCUGACGUUAGCGGCGGACGGGUGAGUAACACGUGGAUAACCUACCUAUAAGACUGGGAUAACUUCGGGAAACCGGAGCUAAUACCGGAUAAUAUAUUGAACCGCAUGGUUCAAUAGUGAAAGACGGUUUUGCUGUCACGUAUAGAUGGAUCCGCGCCGCAUUAGCUAGUUGGUAAGGUAACGGCUUACCAAGGCAACGAUGCGUAGCCGACCUGAUAGGGUGAUCGGCCACACGGGAACUGAGACACGGUCCAGACUCCUACGGGAGGCAGCAGUAGGGAAUCUUCCGCAAUGGGCGAAAGCCUGACGGAGCAACGCCGCGUGAGUGAUGAAGGUCUUCGGAUCGUAAAACUCUGUUAUUAGGGAAGAACAAAUGUGUAAGUAACUAUGCACGUCUUGACGGUACCUAAUCAGAAAGCCACGGCUAACUACGUG
rnacentral:rRNA from 1 species